CAGUAGCCACGGUAAUACAGAGGGUGCGAGCGUUAAUCGGAUUUACUGGGCGUAAAGCGCACGUAGGCGGACUUUUAAGUCAGGGGUGAAAUCCCGGGGCUCAACCCCGGAACUGCCUUUGAUACUGGAAGUCUUGAGUAUGGUAGAGGUGAGUGGAAUUCCGAGUGUAGAGGUGAAAUUCGUAGAUAUUCGGAGGAACACCAGUGGCGAAGGCAGCUGGCUACACAACUAUUGACGCUGAGGCACGAAAGCGUGGGGAUCAAACAGGAUUAGAUACCCCUGUAGUCCCUGUCUCUUAUAC
rnacentral:rRNA from 1 species